UCACGAUAGCGUUAAAAUUACGUCAAAUUUGUAUGGAGUUGGAACGUUUGCCUACGUUUGCCGCUAGGGGCGCUGUUCCAACUGCAUACAAAUAUGGGUUAACUUUUACAGUAUCGA
rnacentral:pre_miRNA from 9 species